rnacentral:rRNA from 1 species
GGGUAGAGCACUGUUUCGGCAAGGGGGUCAUCCCGACUUACCAACCCGAUGCAAACUGCGAAUACCGGAGAAUGUUAUCACGGGAGACACACGGCGGGUGCUAACGUCCGUCGUGAAGAGGGAAACAACCCAGACCGCCAGCUAAGGUCCCAAAGUCAUGGUUAAGUGGGAAACGAUGUGGGAAGGCCCAGACAGCCAGGAUGUUGGCUUAGAAGCAGCCAUCAUUUAAAGAAAGCGUAAUAGCUCACUGGUCGAGUCGGCCUGCGCGGAAGAUGUAACGGGGCUAAACCAUGCACCGAAGCUGCGGCAGCGACGCUUAUGCGUUGUUGGGUAGGGGAGCGUUCUGUAAGCCUGCGAAGGUGUACUGUGAGGUAUGCUGGAGGUAUCAGAAGUGCGAAUGCUGACAUAAGUAACGAUAAAGCGGGUGAAAAGCCCGCUCGCCGGAAGACCAAGGGUUCCUGUCCAACGUUAAUCGGGGCAGGGUGAGUCGACCCCUAAGGCGAGGCCGAAAGGCGUAGUCGAUGGGAAACAGGUUAAUAUUCCUGUACUUGGUGUUACUGCGAAGGGGGGACGGAGAAGGCUAUGUUGGCCGGGCGACGGUUGUCCCGGUUUAAGCGUGUAGGCUGGUUUUCCAGGCAAAUCCGGAAAAUCAAGGCUGAGGCGUGAUGACGAGGCACUACGGUGCUGAAGCAACAAAUGCCCUGCUUCCAGGAAAAGCCUCUAAGCAUCAGGUAACAUCAAAUCGUACCCCAAACCGACACAGGUGGUCAGGUAGAGAAUACCAAGGCGCUUGAGAGAACUCGGGUGAAGGAACUAGGCAAAAUGGUGCCGUAACUUCGGGAGAAGGCACGCUGAUAUGUAGGUGAAGUCCCUCGCGGAUGGAGCUGAAAUCAGUCGAAGAUACCAGCUGGCUGCAACUGUUUAUUAAAAACACAGCACUGUGCAAACACGAAAGUGGACGUAUACGGUGUGACGCCUGCCCGGUGCCGGAAGGUUAAUUGAUGGGGUUAGCGCAAGCGAAGCUCUUGAUCGAAGCCCCGGUAAACGGCGGCCGUAACUAUAACGGUCCUAAGGUAGCGAAAUUCCUUGUCGGGUAAGUUCCGACCUGCACGAAUGGCGUAAUGAUGGCCAGGCUGUCUCCACCCGAGACUCAGUGAAAUUGAACUCGCUGUGAAGAUGCAGUGUACCCGCGGCAAGACGGAAAGACCCCGUGAACCUUUACUAUAGCUUGACACUGAACAUUGAGCCUUGAUG